UCCUAGAAACGCCCCUGGGUGCGACGUGGGCGACAACAUUGAUAUAAAUCGGACUUGAAUGUCAAAAUCCAUUGCGUACUCCCUACAUGCUGAUCAUGACAGCUGCUGGCGCUGAGGCAGUUUGCUGUGAGAUCCCUGCGGAGAGUGACAGGAGUCGUUAUGCCCGAGUGAACCGCAGAGACAAAGGGCGGCCAAUGUGCCUCACUCGGUUCGCUGCGCUUGUCUCUUUACUUCUGUCUUGUUUGGUACUCUUGCUAAACGCAUAUCAUCAUAAAGCAGCAGACUACCAGGUGGCGUUCAACAGCAGCAGCAAAUUGAAAACAAUCUAAGUGCCCAUCUGACAGCUCCAUACUCAUUUAAUCAUUCAAAAGUGAUAUACCUUGAAUGGGAGUACAACCUUGGACUUGCUCACCUUAGCGGCUUUAAGUAUCAUGACUGCGACCUCAUCGUGCUCAAUGAUGGCAUGUACAUGGUUUACCUGCAGAUCACGUUCCGAAGCCCUGGUCACUUUGUGUGUAACGAGGAGGAAUCAGGUUUCAUCAUCACCCAAAAAGUAAUCCUGUUUGCAAAGGGCUACCAAAAAAACAGAGACCUGCUAACAGCAUCUGACACAGUGGACUGCAUUCCUAAAUCGAAUGACUGUCAGCCAACUGGUUCAGAGGGCUGCAAGGAGGAGUCAGGGACUCAGUACUGGGAAAAGUCUCUCUGCACGUUCGGGGUGUUUAAACUAAAAGCUGGGGACAGGCUCAGAGUGAGGAAGGGGGACAGGUACCAUGAGCUGAUGCUCCUUCAAGAAGACAGGACAUUUUUUGGGGCACAUCUCAUUUGAUGUUGUUCCCCAGAAACAACAGGUGCAGGGUAAUAAUGGAUAUAUUAUUAUUUAUUUUUUAAAUUGUAUAUAUAUAUAUAUAUCAGUAUAAAAAAAUAAAUAAUAAUAAUAAUAAAACAUUUAAAAAUAAUAAUAAUAAUAAUAUAUAUUAUUAUUUUUAUUUUUUUAAAUGUUAUUAUUAUUAUUUAUUUUUUAUACUGAUAUAUAUGGUUGUUUUUGAUUGACUAUGCCAUAACUUUGUUGUUUUCUGUGUCAUCUCCAUGAUAACCUAACUUUGUGGAAAUUAGUGUAAUCACUAACCACACUUAUCAGACAAAUUAAUGUCUUUCCACUGUAUACUUUACUUACUACUUGGAGUUUUAAUUUGAUAAUUAUUUCAUAAUGUGUGUGAGAGAGCACUUGAAGAAGGAAAUCAGUUGUAUUAUGCUCUCAUAAAGUGUCCAUAAAUAACUUGUUGUUCAGUUAAACAGUGCAUUAACACAGGCAGCGCAAUUAUGUUUCCCCGAAUUGGUAUUUUGACCAAUCAGAUCAGCUCUUUUGCCAAUAUCAAAGUGUCAAACAAAUGUGAUCAUAAUGUGAUAUAAGGAGAGGCUACUCCUUUACUCUGAAAUGUCAUACAUUUUACUCUGCAACUCCAGUAGAUUAUUUUAAUCAGUCUGUUUCAUAUUGUUUCACCUGGUCAGCAACAGAGAAUUCAAAUGAGCAGGUGUAACAGAUGGGGAUUUGUAACCUCUCUCCUCAGCCUGAAAUGUCUCCCCCCGCACCCCAGAGAAGUUGUCAAGAGGGUAGUCACGUUUAUUUGCAAGACAGAGGUCUCAAGUUCCAGUCAGUCUCAGUGUGAGCUGCUCUAGGAGAAAAAGUAUAAUAAGCAAGAACAGUGAUGUCCGUAACACAGGCAAUUAGGGAACUUUCUAUCAAAUUAGAUUGAUGAUCUUACUCAAUGCCUAGAAAGCCUUGUAAUCAGUUUGUGUUAAUGAACUUAGCCAUGAGUAGAGUCUGACUGUGUCAGCUACAAAUGUCCCUAAAGCUCAUCCUGAUCUUCUACUGUAUAAAAAAUUAAGUGAUGUUUGAUGUGUCUCCAGCAGAAUAACAACAGGAUGAACAUGCAAUAUGUUGUUUACCAUGUCAGCCUAACCUUACUUAAGAAUGUAAGGAAUGCACACUAUUGCACCAUUGUGAUGGUCAACACCCAUUGUAAAUUAUGAUUAACUGAUGCAUGGCUCACUGUGUCACGCCCUGACCUGAGUAUUCUUUGUUUUCUUUAUUGUUUUGGUUAGGUCAGGGUGUGACAUGGGUGAUAUAUGUGUUUUUUGUACUGUCUAGGGGUUUUGUAGGUUUUUGGGGUUGUUUACUAUCUAGGUGUUUAUAUAUGUCUAUGGUUGCCUAGAUUGGUUCUCAAUUAGAGGCAGGUGUGUAUCGUUGUCUGUAAUAAGACACCAGAAGCAUGGGUGGGCUACAUAAACAAUAAACAUGUGAGGACAGAUAGAGAGGGGGCGUUUUAAUAAAGUGAUGGAGUCCAGGUGAGUAAAAUGAAGCGCUGAUGCGCAUAACAAUGGGGUGGCAUGUAGCCUAGUGGUUAGAGUGUUGGGCCAGUAACCAAAAGGUUGCUAGAUCAAAUUCCUGAGCUGACAAGGGAAGAAUCUGUCGUUCUGCCCCUGAACAAGGUUCCCACUAGGCUGUCAUUGUAAAUAAGAAUUUGUUCUUAACUGACCAUCCUAGAUUUAAAAAAAUUCAAACGAUGGUGACAGGUGUGCGUAAUGAUGGGCAGGCUGGCCGCGGGCGCCUGAGAGAGGGAGUGGAAGCAGGCAUGACAAAACAUGUGGGUUGGGUUUUAGGGGGGUGGGAAUGGUAUGAUAAAUAUAAUUUCUAUGGGAGUAAACUGCACAUGCCAUUUUGUGUUAUUGCUGCCAAAUACUUUAGGGAAGGAAAUAAAUACCAGACUUUUAAAAAAACUGAGUGGGUUGUGUUGAAAAAUGGAAUGUGGAAUGGAAUGUAAAUAACCUCAUUACUGAAUCAUGGAGAGAAAGAAGCUUAUACAGUGCCUUCGGAAGUAUUCAGACUCCUUGACUUUUUCCACAUUUUUACAAUAAAGCUUUAUUCUAAAAUUGA